AGCGUAGACGGCAAGGCAAGUCUGAUGUGAAAGCCCGGGGCUCAACCCCGGGACUGCAUUGGAAACUGUUUAGCUAGAGUGCAGGAGAGGUAAGUGGAAUUCCUAGUGUAGCGGUGAAAUGCGUAGAUAUUAGGAGGAACACCAGUGGCGAAGGCGGCUUACUGGACUGUAACUGACGUUGAGGCUCGAAAGCGUGGGGAGCAAACA
rnacentral:rRNA from 1 species